ACACACCCACGGCCGGGGCUGCGCCGGCGAGGGACAGGGAGCCAGGCGGGAUCUGUGGGACAGGAGCCUGCCAGCGACUCUGCCCGCGCCACGGGGAGGCCGUUCCCCCGACACCGCCUCUGGUGGUGCGCAGUCCCGCAGCAAGAGUCCUAAGGAUCAAAAGCCUUGUGGAUGAGUGUCUGCAAUGGACUUUCGGGCUUCCAAGGGAAGAACAAAGUAUUAAUAAGCAGUAGUAUUGGCAAUAGCACAGCCACACUCUUCACACAAACUGAAAUACUGGCUGAUCCUUCGAAAGUCUUGCCGAUGCCAUUACUGACUCUGCUCCAGGGAGGAAAAAUAACACAGCCUCCAAAGCCAGUCACUGACCAUGUCCCAGGCAGCAAAGUACCAGUUCUGAUCCUCUGCAAGGAGGGAGGACACACUACCUGUAGCAUUAAAGGACGGAGCAGACAAGUACUGUCUAUAGAUAAAUGAACCUUAAUAUCAAUCUAAGAUUCUGCUCUUAUGGGUACAUAAAUCCUACUUAAUAUAAGCCCCGAGUUUCUGACAUUUGUGGUUGCAGCUCCAUUUACCUACAGCAGCUGGAGCCAGGAUGCCCAGUGGCAGCACAGACUUGGAAAUCAUUUAGGAUGCUCUGCAUUGGUCACCAUGCAGGGAGACUGAGACUUCUCCUGCACAGAGCAACUCAAGGGCCAUAUGUUUGGGGGAAGUGACAGUCACCUCCCGGGCCCUGGGCUCCAUUCCUGACUGCUGAUGACUCAUUAGGAAAAUUACUUCUGCUUCCGUUUCUGAGCCACCACCACCACCUAAUUUCCACUGGGUCUGUCAGUCCAUUCAGGAGCACAGCAACCCCUGCAAGGAAUUGCCACCCUGGCUUGGGAAUCGCUGUUCCAGAGGUCACAAGAGAACUUUAUUAAUACUCAUUGCAUUAACCUCCCAGCUAGCCAGUGACAGAAAUGCCAUUUCUCCCAUUUUAUAGCUGAGAAAAAUGAAGCGUAGACAGAUCCAUCACCUGGUUACAGAGUCAAUGGGAACUCUUAAUGCUCCAUAAAUCUGAAAAUUAGGCUGUCAGCAGCUUCUCCUGAAGCAAACCUGCAGCAAAGCUAUCCAGGAGCCCCAGUUCCUACCCAUCAG